AUUUUGGGGGGUGUUUGCUCGAGCAUUGGAGCAGGAAAAUCAACAUUGUCAAUGUUUUGUGAUGGAAUGAUGAGAAACACUGAAGUCAGAUUUCCCAGACCUCCACUGAUGUCUCCAUUGAGGCCCCUCUCUAUGGGCACAAGUGGGCAAGAGCAGGGCAUUUUAGCCUCUAAUCCCAGCUGUGAUGUGGUCAGGAACUGCCAGCAGAAAUUGCCUCUUCAGUUUCAACAGUGCCUACACAGUGCAAGUGCUGAGAAGAUAUGGAGCAAGCUGGUGUCAGCAGAAAUCAGGCCAAGAGGCUGCAUUAAACAAUUGCUGCCUGGACUUUCCUUCAAGAAUAAGAAAACGUGGAGGUGGAUUAUUGAAUCAACAGUGUGAUGAAGAAGAUGUGAAGGGAGCACCUGUUCAUCAUCCAUCCACCAAGGGGGACCACAUAGAAUCAUCAAGGUUGGAAAAGACCUCUAAGACAAUCUAGUCCAACCGUUCACCUACCACCAAUAUUUCCCCACUAAAUUAUGUCCCUUAGUACAACAGCUAAACAUGGAA
rnacentral:lncRNA from 1 species